UAAGGAAUAUUGGGCAAUGGGCGCAAGCCUGACCCAGCCAUGCCGCGUGCAGGAUGACUGCCCUAUGGGUUGUAAACUGCUUUUAUACGGGAAAAAACCCUCGAACGUGUUCGGGGCUGAUGGUACCGUAAGAAUAAGGAUCGGCUAACUCCGUGCCAGCAGCCGCGGUAAUACGGUGGAUCCAAGCGUUAUCCGGAUUUAUUGGGUUUAAAGGGUGCGUAGGCGGAAUGGUAAGCCAGCGGUGAAAUCUCCCAGCUUAACUGGGAAACUGCCGUUGAUACUGCCAAUCUUGAGUACGGUUGAAGUGGGCGGAAUGUAGCAUGUAGCGGUGAAAUGCUUAGAUAUGCUACAGAACACCGAUUGCGAAGGCAGCUCACUAAGCCGCAACUGACGCUGAGGCACGAAAGCGUGGGGAGCAAACAG
rnacentral:rRNA from 1 species